rnacentral:rRNA from 1 species
GGGCUUAACCUGGGAACUGCAUUUGAAACUGGCAGGCUUGAGUCUCGUAGAGGGGGGUAGAAUUCCAGGUGUAGCGGUGAAAUGCGUAGAGAUCUGGAGGAAUACCGGUGGCGAAGGCGGCCCCCUGGACGAAGACUGACGCUCAGGUGCGAAAGCGUGGGGAGCAAACAGGAUUAGAUACCCUGGUAGUCCACGCCGUAAACGAUGUCGACUUGGAGGUUGUUCCCUUGAGGAGUGGCUUCCGGAGCUAACGCGUUAAGUCGACCGCCUGGGGAGUACGGCCGCAAGGUUAAAACUCAAAUGAAUUGACGGGGGCCCGCACAAGCGGUGGAGCAUGUGGUUUAAUUCGAUGCAACGCGAAGAACCUUACCUACUCUUGACAUCCAGCGAACUUUCCAGAGAUGGAUUGGUGCCUUCGGGAACGCUGA